UGGAUUAGGCAUGCAAGUCGCACGAAUCCCUGGGUGCUUGCACUCGGGGGGAAGUGGCGCAAGGGGCAGUAAGGCGUGGGUAACCUACCCCCUGGACCGGGAUAGCCCCGGGAAACCGGGGGUAAUACCGGGCGACGUAGCGGAGGCGCAUGUCUCUGUUACCAAACGGUCAGCCGCCGGGGGAGGGGCUCACGUGGUAUUACCUAGUUGGCGGGGUAACGGCCCACCAAGGGGAAGAUGCCUAGCGGGUGUGAGAGCACGACCCGCGCCACUGGCACUGAGACACUGGCCAGACACCUACGGGUGGCUGCAGUCGAGGAUCUUCGGCAAUGGGCGCAAGCCUGACCGAGCGACGCCGCGUGCGGGAUGAAGGCCUUCGGGUUGUAAACCGC
rnacentral:rRNA from 1 species